rnacentral:rRNA from 1 species
CGUGUAGGCGGUCGGCCAACGUACUGAUGUGAAAGACCCGACGGCUCAGCCUCGGAAGUGCGUCGGAAACUAAGUCGGCUGGAGCGCGAUAGAGGAGGGUGGAAUUCCUGGUGUAGCGGUGAAAUGCGUAGAUAUCAGGAGGAACACCGGCGGCGAAGGCGGCCCUCUGGAUCGUUGCUGACGCUGAGACGCGAAAGCGUGGGGAGCAAACAGGAUUAGAUACCCUGGUAGUCCACGCUGUAAACGAUGGGUACUAGGUGUUCGGGGUAUUGACCCCCUGAGUGCCGCAACUAACGCAUUAAGUACCCCGCCUGGGGACUACGGCCGCAAGGUUAAA